rnacentral:rRNA from 1 species
UACGAAGGGGGCUAGCGUUGCUCGGAAUCACUGGGCGUAAAGGGUGCGUAGGCGGGUCUUUAAGUCAGGGGUGAAAUCCUGGAGCUCAACUCCAGAACUGCCUUUGAUACUGAAGAUCUUGAGUUCGGGAGAGGUGAGUGGAACUGCGAGUGUAGAGGUGAAAUUCGUAGAUAUUCGCAAGAACACCAGUGGCGAAGGCGGCUCACUGGCCCGAUACUGACGCUGAGGCACGAAAGCGUGGGGAGUAAACAGGAGUAG